rnacentral:snRNA from 1 species
AGCCCCAAUCGGGCGGUA